AAUCAACGCUGGCGGCGUGCCUAACACAUGCAAGUCGAACGAGAAAGCGGGGGCAACUCCGUGAGUAAAGUGGCGACCGGGUGAGUAACACGUGACCAAUCUACCCUCGAGUGGGGGAUAACUCCGGGAAACCGGAGCUAAUACCGCAUAACAUCUUUGGAACCCAGGUUCUGAAGAUCAAGGGAGCAAUUCGCUUGAGGAGGAGGUCGCGGCUGAUUAGCUAGUUGGCGGGGUAAUGGCCCACCAAGGCGAAGAUCGGUAGCCGGCCUGAGAGGGCGCACGGCCACACUGGAACUGAAACACGGUCCAGACUCCUACGGGAGGCAGCAGUGGGGAAUUUUGCGCAAUGGGGGAAACCCUGACGCAGCAACGCCGCGUGGAGGAUGAAGUCCCUUGGGACGUAAACUCCUUUCGACCGGGAAGAUGAUGACGGUACCGGAUGAAGAAGCACCGGCUAACUCUGUGCCAGCAGCCGCAGUAAGAC
rnacentral:rRNA from 1 species